rfam:Schizosaccharomyces pombe chromosome I, complete replicon
AUGCCACAUACAUAGCACGAUUGGAGGCUUUGGAAUUUGAGUCUCGGUGAAUCAAAGUUCUUUGGUCUUGUGAAUCCACGUGCAACUAAAAGGAGUGCUAACAGUGACUUUUGGUACGCUGUGUAUAUGCAGAAAAAGAUAUUAGACACCAAUUAAGCCGGGACGAAAGCCUAAUUGGAUUGCUUUCGUCUGACUAUGCGUGUUUUACAUUC